rnacentral:snRNA from 1 species
AAUGUAACCUGGCAAGAGUGAUACCAUGGUCAUGAAAGUGGUUUUCCCAGGAUGAGAUUUAUCUCUUGCACUCUGGGUUGUUGACUCCUGCUAAAUGCAGGAAAGUCAGCUUGGUAAUUUGUGCUGUGGUGGUGUAUUAGACCAAA